UCCAGAGAGCUGCUGCCGAAGAGACUCCUAGCAGAACAGUCCGGAGCGGAGCCAGAAGGCGCCCUGGAUCCUCUCUCCUGAGAACUGCUGGCCGGUGACCAGGAAUCUUUGGACUGCCCUGACGACUCAGAUUUAAAAUUUUACAGACAUACUCAGAGGUUUCAACAGAAAGAUAGACUCCACUUUUCUCUCGAGCAGCAGCAAGGUCUCACUUCAGAUGCUCAAUCUUUUCAGUGUAUUCCUGCAUAAAGAAACAACCACAGGAGGACAUGCAGGGCUGGCUGCGGGCACUGGCACCAGCGCUCAGGAGCACACCGAGCUGGUCCGGUGGCAGCAGGGCCUCCUCACCACCUCCUCGCCCGGUGUGACCCCGAUGGAAAUGAACCCCCCAAAACCAUGAGCCCUGGGUGUGGGGUCCCAAGCCCCGAUUUUGGGGUCCAGGCCUCCCCAAACUCUAAUCUGGGGGUCCCAGCACCCUCUGAACCUUGGUUUUGUAGUCCUGGCCACCCCCAAAACCUUAAUUUUGGGGUCCUGGUCCCCCCAGAAUCUGAGUUUGGGGUCCUGGCUCCCCCAAAACCCAAAUUUUGAGGUCCCGCCCCCCCCCCCUUUCCCCCAGC